rnacentral:rRNA from 1 species
UACGGGGGGGGUAAGCGUUGUUCGGAAUUACUGGGCGUAAAGGGCUCGUAGGCGGCCAACUAAGUCAGACGUGAAAUCCCUCAGCUUAACUGGGGAACUGCGUCUGAUACUGGAUGGCUUGGAUUCGGGAGAGGAAUGCGGAAUUCCAGGUGUAGCGGUGAAAUGCGUAGAUAUCUGGAGGAACACCGAUGGCGAAGGCAGCCCCCUGGGCUAGCACUGACGCUCAGGCACGAAAGCGUGGGGAGCAAACAGG